AUGCACCAGCGGUCACACUGGCCCCAUGGGCGCGGCCACGUGGCCCUGCCUACGGACACGGCUAACUCUCCUCAGGGAGCCGUGGUGAGCUGGGAGGUGGACGGCACAGAGGUGACAGAGGGGGUCGUGACCAGCUCAGAGGAGGAGAAGAGCGGAACGUUACAGCAGCAGCAGCACCCUGAGUCUGAGCCAGGAGAGCUGGAUGAAAGGAGAGCUGUACUCCUGCACGGUCCUCCAUCAUGACAACAGCCAGAUCCAGUCCCUCCGCAGGAGCCAGUGUGAGGGCUAGAGGGGCUGGCUGAAGCCCAGGACAGGAGCUCUGUGUUGGGGGAGCAGGAG